CAACCCUCAAGCUCAGCUUGGUAUUGGGUGUCACCUGGCAACGGUGCACCUUAAAAUCAGUGGCGGCGCCAUCUGGCUUCAAGCGUAGUAAUUCUCUCGCUUUGGAGACGUGGACGUGUGCUUGCCAUCAAUUCCCAAUUUAUCAAAA
rnacentral:misc_RNA from 1 species